GUGUUUGUGCUGCUAUGCAUGCGUGGGUGUGAGAAUAUACGUACAUCUCCAGAAGGGUUGGUCUAAGUAAAUAAUUGAGAAGGUGCAUGCAGCGUAUUUAAACAUUAAAUACAUUGGCUUUCGAAUUCAGUGCAACUAUCGAAACCUGCGUUUGGCUUCAACUGCUGCAUAUUUAAAGCGAAAUCACUAGCAAUCUGCAAAUGCUGAGUAAAAAUUACACAAGCCCCAAUUAUUGACAGACCACCUAAGCUUGCCAGCUUUUCCCUUUGUGGAGCUCAGAUUCAUCUUCCUCCCACGCAGGACUGCUGCUUGUUUCAAUCUGAGUGUAAAGUCUUGACAUCAGAAGUGCUGACUCAUGAAACGGCAAGGAAGGAAAAUUUCUGUCGCUGCUGCAGUGCCUGAAGUCGGGUGGAUUUACCCCACCGUGCCUUCUCCUGCCCUCCUCGCUCCAGCCUCUGCCCCGCGUCUGGCCUCCGCAAACCCCAACCUGCCGCUGGGAAAGAGCACGAAGGUGAAAGGCCGCUGCUGUCAGGACUAUCCCUUCCCAGCAUUUCCCUGGCACUGCGAUGAGUUAUCUCUGCUUUUCUUUGGGGUGGCUGUCUGCGGUUUGUUAUGCGCAGUUUAAAUAGAAGCAAGGACCUCUGGAAAUGGCCUUUUUCCUCAGAAGCUGGUGUGCUACCUACUAGCUCUUGGGUAAAAGGAUGAGAGAACCCUCCACCUCUUCCUCAAAGGAAAGGUGUUUCAGGAUGGAUGCUGACAGCAGCCGAGAAACAUUUGGCACAGCUCAGGAAAAGAAGUGCAAAGGUGACAGUCUCCUUUACCAGCUAGCUGGGGCCAGCUCAGCCUGCACCACCUGCCAGCAGACCCAACUGCGCUAGGACAGCCAGCCCCUCCUCGUCUUUGGAUUCGUCU